rnacentral:rRNA from 1 species
UACAGAGGUCUCGAGCGUUAGGCGGAAUCACUGGGCUUAAAGCGUGUGUAGGCGGAUCGUUAAGUACCUUGUGAAAUCCCACGGCUUAACCGUGGAACUGCUUGGUAUACUGGCGGUCUUGAGCCAGCUAGGGGCUACCGGGAACAAAUGGUGGAGCGGUGAAAUGCGUAGAUAUCAUUUGGAACACCAAUGGCGAAGGCAGCUCGCUGGGACGGUACUGACGCUGAGACGCGAAAGCGUGGGGAGCAAACAGG